AUUGAGCGCCGGCGGCAGGCCUAACACAUGCAAGUCGAGCGGAUGAAGGGAGCUUGCUCCUGGAUUCAGCGGCGGACGGGUGAGUAAUGCCUAGGAAUCUGCCUGGUAGUGGGGGAUAACGUCCGGAAACGGGCGCUAAUACCGCAUACGUCCUGAGGGAGAAAGUGGGGGAUCUUCGGACCUCACGCUAUCAGAUGAGCCUAGGUCGGAUUAGCUAGUUGGUGGGGUAAAGGCCUACCAAGGCGACGAUCCGUAACUGGUCUGAGAGGAUGAUCAGUCACACUGGAACUGAGACACGGUCCAGACUCCUACGGGAGGCAGCAGUGGGGAAUAUUGGACAAUGGGCGAAAGCCUGAUCCAGCCAUGCCGCGUGUGUGAAGAAGGUCUUCGGAUUGUAAAGCACUUUAAGUUGGGAGGAAGGGCAGUAAGUUAAUACCUUGCUGUUUUGACGUUACCAACAGAAUAAGCACCGGCUAACUUCGUG
rnacentral:rRNA from 1 species